rnacentral:rRNA from 1 species
ACCCGCACAAGCAGCGGAGCAUGUGGUUUAAUUCGAAGCAACGCGAAGAACCUUACCAAGGCUUGACAUCCCCUUGAAAGGUGCAGAGAUGCAUCCCCUUUCGGAGCAGGGGAGACAGGUGGUGCAUGGUUGUCGUCAGCUCGUGUCGUGAGAUGUUGGGUUAAGUCCCGCAACGAGCGCAACCCCUAUUAUUAGUUGCCAGCAUUACGGGUGGGCACUCUAAUGAGACUGCCGGUGACAAACCGGAGGAAGGUGGGAUGACGUCAAAUCAUCAUGCCCCUUAUGUCUUGGGCUACACACGUGCUACAAUGGUCGGUACAACGGGGUGCGAAGGAGCGAUCCGGAGCGAAUCCCAAGAAGCCGAUCUCAGUUCGGAUUGCAGGCUGCAACUCGCCUGCAUGAAGUUGGAGUUGCUAGUAAUCGCGAAUCAGAACGUCGCGGUGAAUGCGUUCCCGGGUCUU